GGUGCUGCUGACCGGUGUGAUCGGCCUGUUGCUGAUGGGCCACGAGUUGCUCAAGAAGCUCGGCUGGAUCGUUUCCGACCUGAGCCU
rnacentral:tRNA from 1 species